rnacentral:lncRNA from 1 species
AGUGCUGCUGGUGCCGGAGUCCGGAAGCUGACGGCGGUGCGUGGAAAUCGUCGCGGAGUUCAGUGUUUUGCUUUUGGGGAUCACAAACUCAGGGGCACACUGGCCCGGCGGGCGCAUCCAGCCGUUGGCGUAUGUGUGGGCAGAAAAUGCAGACGAGAAAGUGGGUGGCGCUUGGCUAAUGCGGGCUGGAGCCCUUGACUUGGAGUGCCCAGUCCAGCGCCGCGGUCCUACAGAGGCCCCUGGGAUCUGAGCUGGCGAGGGUGGCGCGGCGGGUCCUACCCAAGGCCAGAAAGUUCGCUGCGGUCCCAGCUCUUUUGGGCAGCCUCUCUGAGGUAGAGCUCUCAGACGGUCUUCAGCCCGGUGGAACGCCCUGGUGUCCCACUCCACCCGUUCAUCCCGACUUCCUGGGCCGUCUCUAGAGCCCAGUUGGUAGUUGGGCCCAGUUGGCAUAUGUUUCAGAUGAAAAAUUCAUUACGGACUUGAGAUGCUAGGUUGGAGACAAAUCUCAUGUCAGUGGCAGAGAAAGAAUUCGAAGCUGUGCUUUCAUUGAGGGGAAGGGCCAGAAGACCCAGCUCUAGGUUUUUCUGACAAGCACAAGUUUUGGGGAAGUCCCUGUGCUUCACUAGCCUCAGUUUUCUUCCUAUAAUGGGGGUAGGGCUUUUCCUACCUACCUCAUUCACUUUGUGUAGAGUUAAAAGUAAUACACAUUUUGCCAAUAAUGUAUUCACUGCUUGAACCAAAAACUACCCUAAUGUGUUGUAGAACAACUUUGGCAUGUAUGAAGGCCUUGUAAAUGUUGAUGAUGAUGAUGCUUAGAAAUGCCUCUCAGCAUUUUGACGUAGCCUGCCUCCCAACCUACUGUAUUCCCAGGAGAUACCACCCCCAUCUUUAUUAUAACAGAGGCAUCCUGAAAUGAAAUGAGAGAGGAAGAAUAUCACUGAACUGGUGGACUUCUUGAAACCCCCGGCAAAAAGCCUUUUUUCAAUGACGUAGGGAGCAAUGGAUUAAUCAGUUCACAAAUUGUUAUGUUUGGUUGGGAUGAUGUGUCAUGGCCCUAUGUCAGAGCGCUACUCACCACACGUUUGUGGAACCCAGGGAGUUAAAAAACAACCUAUGGCGACUGAGGUGUGGAGCUGGGGAAGGAGCCUAUGUACGUAUGUGUGUGCCACCACGUCUGGUAAUUUUUUCUACUUUUUUUGUGUAGAGACGAGCUCUUGCUAUGUUGCUUAGACUGGUCUUGAACUCCUGGUCUCAAGUGAUCCUCCCACCUUGGCCUCCCAAAGUGCUGGGAUUACAGGCGUGAGGCACCAUGCCUGACCCAUUUGUUUUCUUUGACUUGUGUUAGAGCAUCCUAGUCUAAAGAAAAAGUGGCCACACAAUGUUCUUUAUGUGGACUUCUGCAGGAAUGGUCCUCUCACCCAGUCACCCAGUCCUGGCAAUUUGCUGCCAUUUUUUUUGGUCAUUUUUCCUGGCUAAGUCUAGUUCCAGCUCCAGAGAUUAGAAUAUGAAAGGAUUAACCCCCCAAAAUGGGAUGGAGGGAUGAAUGAGUUGAAAGUUUUUGUUUCCCUUUUCCAAACACUGAGUUGGCUCUCAUCAGCACAGCUGUCUCUGGGGAUGUAUAAAGCGUAAUUAAUACAUUUUAAAUGUUUGGUUUCAACUUUUUUUGCUAGUGAGAUAAGAUAAGGAGUUUUUGUCAUGACAAGGGAAGGGGUGGAUUUCUUUCUAUCAUUUGCAGGAGUGGGUACCACUUGGAUCCUGUAGGUAGACAGUUGCAUGAGAUGAUAAACUUUAUAGGGGGCAUGGAAGAAAGCCAGUGGAGAUGGGGAAGGAAUGGCUAGACUCUUUAGCUUCCUGACAACCAGAGGGGGAAAAUGAACUUCCAGAGAAUUUGGGUUUUGCCUUAAAUAUUGAAAUUUGCUUGGGCAUUUGGUCCACUUCUUAAUUAACCUGGGUCCAGAACUGAAUGUCUUUGCAGUCGGAGCUCAGAAUUGCUUUGGUAUCUCACAGUACACAUAGCAUUUCCCUGUUGGUGUACGGUAGGCCAAGGACCAGAGCAUGUGUUGUGCUGUAGCCAAAAGGAAUAGUCUCCAUGACCUUAUCGUUGGAGAGAUCAUUGGACACUGAAAUAGUUGAGCAUGGACACUCUAAGAUGGGUGGAAAUACUAGAAGAGUUAUUAUUAGCAGAGGGAUCUAUGUAUCCAUAAGAUCCAUAUUUUUAAUUAUAAUGUUCAUAUCUUCUAUAUUCUUUUUAAUAAAUGGUGCUGGGAAAACUGGCUAGCCAUAUGUAGAAAGCUGAAACUGGAUCCCUUCCUUACACCUUAUACAAAAAUUAAUUCAAGAUGGAUUAAAGACUUAAACGUUAGACCUAAAACCAUAAAAACCCUAGAAGAAAACCUAGGCAUUACCAUUCAGGACAUAGGCAUGGGCAAGGACUUCAUGUCUAAAACACCAAAAGCAAUGGCAACAAAAGCCAAAAUUGACAAAUGGAAUCUAAUUAAACUAAAGAGCUUCUGCACAGCAAAAGAAACUACCAUCAGAGUGAACAGGCAACCUACAAAAUGGGAGAAAAUUUUCGCAACCUACUCAUCUGACAAAGGACUAAUAUCCAGAAUCUUUAAUGUCUUGAUUUCUUUACCUGUUAAUUCCUAACUGACACUUUAGUGUGUAUUAAAAACUCCCGCCGUGAUGGUGGAACUGUCAUUUUCUUAUUGUAGUUCCAUCAAAGAUAUAUAAAUUAUAUAUACAUAUAUACAAAAAUUAUAUAUAUGUACACACAUAUACAUGUAUGACUGUUUAAGCUAUUUACAUUUAUUGUGAUGUCUAUAUUGCUGUUAUCUUCUACCAUCUCACUUUAUGUUUCUAGUUGUCCAACUGUUUUAAUGCCCCUUUUCUGACUUCCUCUGAAUAAAAUGAUAAGCUUUCGCUUAAUUUCUUUAGUGCUUACUCUUGAAUGUUUAAUAUGUUUACUUAGCUUAAAGUCUCAAUCAGUAACAUCACUUACCUUUUUAAUAAUAUAAUAAAUACAGCAACUUCGGUCACACCUGACCAAGAUCCCAGUUUAUAUGUCCCACAAAAUUCAUUAGGCUCUUUACCCUCACCACCCUUCUCACCACUCCUGGGCCUUGGCUGCUCACCUGAGGCAUUGCUUCCUUUGGAUUUUCGGUGGCUGCAUGGAAGACCAGCUUAUCCUUGAGUUCACCCUGACCAUGGUUACAUUUGUCUCUCCAUGACAGUCAGUAGUGCUCUUGGGAAUUCAGCGUGGCAGUUGGGACAAUGGCAGGGGCUGGGGCUUUACCUCUGUGGGAAAAGUAUGAAACAUUGCUAGGGCUUUUCCAGCCAGAAAGCUGGGCAAGCUUUUGCCCCUAGCAAAGGAUAAGUUUUAUUUUAAUUGUCAUAAGUGUGUAUUUAACUGGGCCAAGGAGGAUUGGAAGUGCUGGGGAAAGCAUUCAGUUGUAAUACAUUCCUUCAGCUUUACCCCCAAAUGUUUUAAUUUGAAAAUUUCCAAGCAUAUAGAAAAAUUGAAAUAAUUUUAUAGUGAGCAUCCAUAGAAUGGAUUUCUUUGAGUUUAUCCUCCUUGGGGUUUUCUCAGAUUCUUAGUCUGUAGGUUUAUGCCUUUUUUCAUAUUUGAAAAUGUUUCAGCCAAUUACCACCUAGAUUUCACAAUUGGUCUUUUACUAUACUUGCUUUCUCACAGUCAUCCAUCAAUCUAUCCUUCCAACAUUUUUAAAAAUGAAAAUUUGCAAACAUACAGAAUAAUAGAAAGAAUAGUACAAAACACACCCUCAGAUUAUCCUCAUAGAGUCAACAAUUGACAAUGUUUUAUUCUAUUUGUUUCCCUCUCUGUCUUUCUCUCUGAAUCAUUUGAAAGUCAGUUCCACACUUCAUUAUAUUUCAUCCCUAAAUAUUUCAGCACAUAUCUCUUAGAAAUAGACAUUAUCCUACAUAACCACAUUAUUAUGACACUAAAGAAAGUUAACAAUUUUAUAUCAUUUCAUGAUCAAAUGUUCCAUCUAUAUUUGUUUCUCCAAAUUUUCCAACCUCUUGUAUUUUUAAAAAUCAGAAACCAAUAAAACUUCUUACAUUGCAUUAGUCUUUAGUGUCUUUUAAUCUAGAACAGUCACCUGUUUUAAAAAUGUUUUUUAUUUUGAAAUAAUUAUAGAUUUACAGAAAAUUACAGAGUGGUUCCAUACACACUUCACUCCAUUUCUCUCAGUGGUUAGUUACAUCUUGCAUAAUGAUAGUACAAUAUCAUACCAGAAAAUUGAUAUUGAUACAAUGAGUGUGUGUAGUGUUAUGCUAUUUUAUCACAUGUUUAGAUUCCUGUAACCACCACUACAAUCAAGAUAUGGAACUAUUUCACUAGUUAAAACAUUUUAACAGUUUGAGAAAAGUGUAAAAACCUGACCUCCCUUUAAGCUCCUUUAUCCUCCCUGUUUAUGGCACAUUGGCCUUAAAUAUUUCUUCUACAUACAUUGAGAUCCACAUUACACAAUGCUAAGUUUUUGCUUUGACCAUCAAAGUAAUUUAGAGAAAUCAAGAGGAAAGGUAAAGUUUAUUGAAUUUCACCAUGUUUUUGCUUUUUCCAUUGUUCUUUUUUUCUUCUUGAUGUUCCAAGUUUCCUUCUUUUAUUAUUUCCUGUUUUGAGAACUUAUCUUCUUUAGCCAUUCUUUUAGGGUAGGUAUGCUGGUGACAAAUCCUUUUAGUUUUCCUUCUUCUGAGUAUGUCUUUUUGCUCCUUCAUUCUUGAAGGUUAAUUUCACCAAGAAUUCUAGGUUGACACUUACUUUCUUUCAGCAUUUGAAAAAUGUUAUUACUUCCUUCUGGCUUCCAUGGUUGCUAAUCAGAAAUCCACUGUCAUAUGAAUUGUUUUUCUCCUAUACGUAAGGCGUCAUUUUUCCAAUGCUACCCUCCUCUCCUCUCCCCUCCCCUCCCUCCCUUCCCCUCUUUUUUUGAGAUGGAGUUUGGCUUUUGUCACCCAGGCUGGAGUGCAAUGGUGUGACCUCGGCUCACUGCAACCUCUGCCUCCCAGGUUCAAGCGAUUCUCCUGCCUCAGCCUCCCAAGUAGCUGAGAUUACAGGCACCAGCCACCAUACCCAGCUAAUUUUUGGAUUUUUAGUAGAAACGUGUUUUCACCAUGUUGGCCAGGCUUGUCUCGAACUCCUGACUACAGUUGACACCUGCCUCAGCCUCCCAAAGUGCUGGGAUUAGAGGCAUGAGCCACCACGCCUGACUUCCAGUGCUGCUUUCAGAUUACUUUCUUUGUCUUUAGUUCUUCAAUUUUCAGAAGUUUGAGUAUGAUGGUUCUUGGUAUAGAUUUCUCUCAGUUUAUCCUCCUCAGGAUGUUCUCAGAUUUUUAAAUCUGCAGGUUUAUGCCUUUUUCCAUAUUUGAAAAUUUUCCAGUCAUUAUUUCUUCUAAUGCUUUUUCAGCUCCACUUUCUUCUCUGCUUCUUAGACUCCAAUGACACAAAUAUUAGAAUGCUGUUUUCCCACAGGUACCUGAGGCUCUGUUCAUUUUUUUCAGUCUAUUUUCUCUCUGUUUUUCAGAUUGGGUAAUUUCCAUUGUUCUAUUAUCUAGUUCACUGGUUCUUCCCUCUGUCCCCUCCAUUCUGUUGUUGAGCCUAUCCACUGGGAUUUUUAGAAAAUUUUAAUUAUUGAAUUUUUUAAAUUCUAAAUUUCCAUGUGGUUCUUCUUGAUAUAUUCUAUUUCCGUAUUGAGACUUCAUAUUUUUAAUUUGUUUCUAGUGUUUGUAAUUGCUAAUUGGAGCAUUUUUAUGUUGGCUGCUUUAAAAUUUGUGUCAAUAAUUCCAGCAUCUGUGUCAUCUUGAUGUUGGUGUCUGUUGAUUAUCUUUUCUCUUUAAAGUUAAGAUUUUCCUGGUUCUUGGUGUGACCUGAUUUUCCAUCAUUUUCUUGGAAUUUUGGGUACUAUGUUAUGAGAUUGGGUUUUGCUUAAAUCUUUCUUAGCAGGCCUCCUCUGAUGCUGCUCAUUUGGGAAGAAGGACGUACUGCUUUGCUACGUGACAGGGUGAAGGUCUAGGCUCCCCUCCAGGCCUUUGGGGACACCUCCCAUGCUCAGAGGGGUAGAGGUGCUUUUUUACUGAUCCUCAUGUGGCUUCUACUAGGAGGUAGGUGAAAGGCCUUGUUAUCUCUGGGUGAUGGUGAAAGUUUGACUGUUCACUCAGUCUUCUCAGGCAUCACUUGGGUGGGACAGGGAGGGGUGCCCUGUUACAGCUGGAAGAAGAUGGAAGUCUAGGCUCCCUACUCAGUCUUUGCUAAGUGGUAACCUGUCGCUUUAUGAGUCUCUGUCUGAUUGCAUAAGUGAAGAAUUACUGGCCUUAUAGAAAUAUACACUAAGUGAUUGGUAGAUUUCUUCACAAAUUCUUACUUCCUGGGGAUAGGAUGAUCUAAGAUGUUCCCGUUAUUCUUAGAUGAUCCUGGGUUUCCACUCUAAUGUACUGUGAUAUUUUAAGUUUCACAAUGCACAAUCAUCCUUUUAUAUGUUGACAUAAAAUGCCCUGGAAUGGUCUUAUUAUAAAAUUAUAGAACCUUCAUCUAUCUCAAAUGUUGGAAUUUAAGUUCCCUGUGGAUAAAAAAGAACAAUUGAUAUUUGUAGAUUAGCUGCAAUCUGUUGAAUUUUGACACAGUAGAGUCUUGCAUUAUUUUGUUUAUGAAAAGAGAAAAUCUAAUGAUUCUAGUGGCAUGGUUUUCUUUUACACCCUACUCCUUUGUUUGAUUUUCAGAUCACAGUUUUUAACGUAAAUUUGUCCAUAAAACUGUAAGCCUCAUUAAAUUUUUGGCAGUGGAAUUUCAGGAAUCUAUUUACAUUUUCCUAAAAUAUUAGGUUAGUUUUUUUCAGUGUAAAAAUACUUCCUAAGGGGAUAGAAUUUUUUUCUCUUCUAAAAUUGUGCCUCUAGAUUUCUUAGUGUAGUUUUGAUCAGGAGGAGAAAUAAUUAUCAAAGGAAAAACUUUUUUUUGGUUAAUAUUUUUAUUAAGAUUUAUGUAUUCCAGAUUAUGGACUAAGUGUGGGCAUUAUACAAAUUGAGAGGAGCGGUCCCUAUGUUUUCCAGGUAUAUAUUGUUAUGACAUAAAGUUGAUUUCAGUAAGUCUGGAAAGACUUAAGUAGAUAGCCUGGAUAAACAGAGCUAGGAGGCAGGGAACCUUGGUCUCAGUGCAGAUUUUAUUGCUGAACUUUCUUCAGUCAUCUUAGUCAAAUCCUGUAGCAUCUCUGGACCUCAAUUCUUACCUGUCAAUGAGAAUAAAAACACCUAUCUUUUCUAACUUCUACAGUUUCUGCCUGAGAAAAUUUAAAUAUGUGCCAUAAACAUAGAUAACAUUGCUAAAGACGGCUUACCUCUUUUUAUUUAUUCUUUAAAAUAAUCUGCAAACACUACCAGUUUUUCAGCUGCUUUUGGUUUCAAAAAUGUCUCAGAGCAAAGAGAAUUAAAAAAAAAAACCUGCGUGGGAUAGUUUUAAAAAAGUUUUAGACUUCAUUUCCAAGAUUUACUAUCUCCAUUUUUGCUAUUAGUGAGAACCGAAUUUAUUUUUCUUUCCUGAAUACUCUGAUCUUUUAGUUGUCCUGGAGCUAGUUGUGUCACCUAUGAAGAUUUAGGCAGAAAAAAGCCUUGCACGUAGUUUAGAGAACUGUGUGGUAGACAUCCCUGGAUUAAAAUAGCUGUAAUCAGUAAAUCAAUCUCACGUUUAGGAAUAUGCUGAAGUGUGUGGAUAUUCUGACUUGAUCCAGAAACAGAAUAAAACCAAAUCAACUGCUUUCAAAGUAAGAACAAUUGCAAAAACAAAAAUUUUGAAAUACUGAACAUAAAGGUUUGAAUUGUAAAUAUUUGUUUCUAGAGAAACAAAAGAAAUUGCACUCAUUUCUAAUUUCAGGGGAAGAGAGCUCAGUGGUAGUUAGGCCACACCGACCUUGUUGGUGUGUUAAAAUGGGAAUUUUCACAUAAGGUUAUCUGUAUGAGACAAGGAACCCUGUACCACCCCCGUGGUGGGCAGGAACUCUCCUUCCAUCUGUAGACUGGUUCUUAGAUGUGGCUCAGAACUGACACACACACACAAUCCCCGCAGAUUUUGUCUUCUAUUCAUAAUCAUCAGAGUUUGAAAUUAGGGAGUGAGCCAAAACUAAGUAUUACAGGUAUUUUAGCUGUGGUUGUUAGGUCCUCUCACAAUUAGUUGCUAAAUAUAUUUUUGACUGACAGGAAAAAAUGUAAAAUGUCUAGAGUUUUCUUUGAAUCUCUAAUAUCGACUUAUUUCCCUGCUAUAUAAAUUAUUCUGAGCAGCAUAAUGUGUACAGGCCAGAAAGGCAUGGCGCCUGAAUAUCAGUGACCAAGAAAGAAUCUUCAGAGCUGCUAAUAUAACCUCUGAGGAGCCCAGGGGAAAAAAUCCAUUCUGCCCUUUUCAGUUUGUUGGUUUUAUUAUUUUUCACUAAGAAUGAUUGUCCUAGGCCUACCUGACUGACACCAGGUCCAUCGAGGUGCUUGGAACACCGCCGCCCCCCCCCAACCCACCCUCCUGCAGACACAUAGCAAAGAGAGAUGGGUGCACAGCUGGCUUUGGCUUGGUGCCUCCUUUGGCCCUAGGGGUCCACUUACCCCUGGCAUAGGAGGCAUGCAUCUGCAUCUGGAUCAUGAACAAAACUGUCUCACCUUGAUUUCAGAAAUACGUGCGAGAGUUUCACCCUUUGAGAACCAACCACCCACCUCUCACUUGAGCUCUCCUUAGCUGCUUUCCAAGGAGCCUAGAGUCCCUCACUUUCUCAUGAGAAUCCUUCCUUCCUUCCUUAGUAAGAGAUGAUGUUUAUUAUAGAAUGCAGACCUAUGGGGAGGGGAUAUUCUAUAUAGCUACCAUUUGUUGAAUCCUUACCAUAUCUGAAACAUUGUGCCAAGAGAUUUGCAAUCACAAAUAUUCCCAUUUUUUUAAAUGAGGAAACUGAGGCUCAGAAGUACAUUUUUGUACAAGAUAACAAAGUUAGUAAAUCAUAGAACCAGCCUUCAAAUCCAGAUUCUUCAGACUCCAAAAUCCAUGGGCUCCCAGGACCCUGUACUGCCUCCCUGUAACUGAGAUUCAUUGAGGGGAGGCCCUGGCCUGACAAAUGAGGAGUGCUGGGCUCUGACCUCCUGCUGGUGAGGAAGAAAGCAGCUAAGAGGUCCUGGGCUGAGAAAGCUUUGCCUCACCAGGUGCUCUGAGUGCUGGCACAGGAAGGAUGAAAGCGGAAGUCCAAGCACAAAGUGGAAGUCUUCCUCCUGCUUCACAGGGUAGCCUUCCGGGGUGUCUCAUUCAGGAGGGAGCCCAUCCUGGGAGAAGGAAGAGAGCAGAAAUGUGGCCAACCCCUGCCUGCACUAGGGACCUCAUGCUUGUCUUUCUUCAGAAGAGGAUGAUGCUUGUUUGAGAGGGUGGCAUAGUGUUUAUGAUGUUAUACUGCAUUUCUGUUCCUUUCACUAGCUGGAGUAUGAGCUUGUGAACCUGAAAAAUGUUGGAGCACCUCAGCUGGGAAUGUCAAGGGCUAACAGAGGUGGCAGUGAGGCCUCAGAUGGGUUUCAGGUUGCCGUCUUGAUGGGACAUGGCUUAGACUUUCCAUUGCCCUUCAGAGUUUCUUCUUUAGCCAGGUUCCUUAUACUAAUGAUCCGUAUGAUCAGUAUGGCUGAAAUAUAGCUGAAGAAGGCAGUCAGCAUAUAGUGUCACCCAGACCAGACUUUUUCAGGAUGCAGCCUGAAACUUUUUUACCUUCUCAGUCUGGUCCAGGGACUUCUCCAAUGUACUUCUAUAAAAGCUGUGACUUAACAUUUCUGAUGCUAUAUUACAAAUAUCUGCUUAUAGACUGCAGGCUCCUUGAGGACAUGAGCCAAUUCUGCUUAUCUCAGCAUUCCCUGUGCCUUUUGUGGCACCUGAGCUUGAGAAGGUGUUCCUAGCUAAGCCGGACUUUGGAGGAGAACAGCCUUGGUCCAAUUACAGAAAUGAGGAAACUUCAAGGUAAAGAGGGGUGACUGGUUAAUUGUGCUCCUGGGAAAAACAUGCUUCUGAUCAUUAGGUUGAGAAUGAGAACUGUGUGUUUAAAACUGGAGUAAAAAGAACAAUCUACUGGUAGCCCUGACGGCAGCCAGCAUGAAGGGGCUGCCCAGAAGGGACAUUUUUGGAAGUGCGAACAAAAGCUUUGCUCUAGGACAUCCUAGAUUGCUUUUCCAAAUAAUUAUAAGAUGCGAUGAAGGCUGCACCUUUUAUUUCCAUUUUAUUCUGUUUAGGAUGAAACAUUUUAAAUAAAAGUCCUGAAAAUUUAGAAGGCAAAUAAAGCAAUCCUGCUAGUUUAAUGAAGUCAAAGCUGUAAAUGCAGCUUUUAUGGAGUGUCAACCACUCCCUGAGGAACCUGGUAGCUAGAGGGAAAGGAGGGGGAGGGGCAUCCUUUGACUCAUCCCAAGGGGCCAGAACCUUUUUUCACUUUUCUGUAGCAAGUAGGGCUUCUAGAGAGGAGAGCUCUGCUAGUAAGGAAUGAUCCAGGGCCCUCUGGCCUGUGAAUUUUUCCUUCAAGUGGCCUUACUUUCUUUCUGCAUGAUGAGACUGGAGGCAUGGCAUGGCUCUUUGAAAACCACCAUCCCUUUGGGUUGGUGACCUUCUCCCUCUGGUACCUGUGUGCCAAGGGGGUGUAUGGAAGACAGGCUUCUGUCCAGUGCCCUCUGUGGUAUGUGGCCUAUCUACAGCACUAGUCAGAAUGCAAUGGAUAGAGGGCCACUCUGUACCCUGGGGUGUUCUUUCAGUAAUCCUCUCAUCACAGUCACCUCCAAAGGCUGCUCGCCCUGACAGUGGGGAUGUGAUGGGCAGGCUGUCAAAUAGAUUGUGAGUGCAUUAGCAGGAUUAGCAGUGAAGGCUAAUAUUGUAGCAUUUCCAAAGUUCAUUCACGGCAGCUGCUUGGCUGCCAAAUUGGGCAGGCGCAGGCUUCAGAAUUAAUGUCACAUCUGGGAUGGCCCUGAUGUGGUCAGAGGCACAACAGUCCCAUUGUGUUUGACUUGUGUUUAUGUAUUUUUAUUCUAUAACAGAGUUUAAUUUGUAACAUUAGUAGAAAGAUACCGUCUAAGUGUUCUUUUCCAUCUUAUUGAUGAACUAGCUGAAAUACUUCUGCCACCCUUCAAAACCAGAUGCUUUGUUUUUGGUAGUUCUUGGAGUAUUGUUGAUUUUAUUUCUGCUAGUGAAAGUAAUAUACCUUCAUUUGGAAAAAUUUGAUCAGAGAAGUACAAGGGAGCCAUUUAAAAUGCUCAGUCCUUUUACUAUAUAGAUAUUACCUCUGGUGCCAUAUGUAUUUCCAUGUGAUUUUCCUAUGGUGCAUAUAUAUUAAAGAAAAUGGUGAUCAUACAAUAUAUUUGGGAUUGUUUCCCUUUUAAAACACUGAAUAUGGCUGGGCACGGUGGCUCACGCCUGUAAUCCUAGCAGUUUGGGAGGCCGAGGCGGGUGGAUUGCCUCAGCUCAGGGGUUCGAGAUCAGCCUGGGCAACACGAUGAAACCCCGUCUCUACUAAAAUACAAAAAAAUUAGCCAGGCGUGGUGGCACGCACCUCUAGUCCCAGCUACUCAGGAGGCUGAGGCAAGAGAAUUGUUUGAACCUGGGAGGCAGAGGUUGCAGUGAGCUGAGAUCGUGCCAUUGCACUCCAGCCAGGGUGACAGAGUGAGACUCCGUCUCUAAAAUAAAUAACUAAAUAAAUAAAUACACACUGAAUAUUAUAUCAUGAACAUUUUCCAUUUUUUGCACUUUUAGUGAAAAUACAAAAUUUAGUUACUAUCAAGUAGUUUAUAUGAAUAUAUUUGUAUUAGUGUUCUAUUGAUGUGUAACAAAUUACUACAAAUUUAGCACCUUAAAACAAUACUCAAUUAUUAGCCCACAGUUCUGUAGGUCAGAAGUCUUGCAUGAUAUGACUGAGUUCCCUGCUCAGGGUCUCACAAGGGCAAAAUCAAAGUGUCAGCUGGGCUGAGUUCUCUGGAGGCUCUGAGAAGAAUUGCUUUCAAGCUCAUUCUUGGUAGCAGAAUUAAGUUCCUUAAGUGUGUAGAACUGAGGUCCUGGUUUCCUUGCUGGCUUCCUAUUCUUAGCAGCUGAAGCCACCUGCCUUCUCUGCCAUGUGGCCCCUCUAUCUUCAAGCCAGCAUUGGUGCAUUGAAUUUUUAUUGUGUUUUGAAUCUUUGACUUCCUUUUCUGUGAUCUGCUGGAGAGAACUGUUCACUUUAAAGGGCUUAUAUGGUUAGGGCAGGCACACAGAAUAAUCUCCCCCGGCUUAAGGUCAACUGUGUCAGAUAACAUAAUCUAAUUAGGAGAGUGCAAUCCAUCACAUUGAUAGUUUCCAGGAUUAUGCAGGAUAUGUACACUAGGGACAGGGAAUCUUGGUAGCCAUCUUAUAUUUCUGCCCACCACAAUAUUAUAUGUAAUAGUUUUUGUAUUUUCAGAAUUUGUUUAUUUCCACUUUCUUCUUAUUAUAAAUAAUGUUUUGGGUGAAAUGACAUUUUGUAAUUUGCAUUUUCUAAUGAAGUUAAACAUUAAUUUUCAUAUGUUUUUUGACCAUGUAUAUUUCUUCUUAUGUGAAUUAUUCCUUGCUGUUCUUUUUUACAGUAUUUUUUCUAAUUGAUAUAUAAUGCUUUUUCAAUAGUAAGGUUACUAAGCCUUUGCUGAUUUAAAAAAAAUUGUUUAUUGAAAGGAGUCACACUAUGUUGCCCAGACUAGUCAAUAAGCAAUCCUCCCACUUUGGCCUUCCAGAGCACUGGAAUUACAGUUGUAAGUCAUUGUGCCUGGCCCCAGCUGCUAAUUUUAUCACAAAUAUUUUACCUUUGCUUACUUUUUGAUGCACAAAUAUUUUAAACAUAUAUAUACACAAUUCUACCUGUAUCUUUCUUUUUCUUUCUGCCUUUGGAGUCAUUUAGAAAGUCCUUUUGUACCCCAAAAUUUUAGAAGUAUUGAGUUACAUUUCUGUGUUACUUUUAGAGACUUAUAUUAUUUGUGUUUAAACUUUUAUGUAUAUGAAAUUUAUUUUCUAUGUAGUAUUAGGUACAUAGUUAAAUUCCCCCUCCCCCAAAUUGUUAACCAGUGAUUCUAAUGAAGUAACUUAUCCUUUGCUUUCUGAUUUCAAAUGCCAUUUUUGUACUUGACACAUUUGAGUUGCCUUUUAUUCUGUUCAAUUUUUCUAUUUUGCAGACUAGUAUAAGACCCAUGUUCUUACAAUGAUUAUAACUUUGAAAUAAAUUUAAAUGUUUUGCAAUACCAAUUCCUCCCUGUGAUCUUUGGUUUUCAGUAUUUCACUGGCUAUUUUACCCUUCUGCUUUCAGGAAGUUUAGAAUGAAUUUAAAUUGCUAGUGGAAUUUUAUUUGAAGUGCAUUGAUUUUUAUAGAAUUUAUUUUGAAGAGGUUAUAUUUUUGCCAUAUAUAGUCUUCCCAUUCCAGAAAUAUGGUUUCUAUGCUUAUUAAAAUUGUCUUUUCUAUUUCCCAGUGAAGUUUUAUUUUUCUAUUUUAAUACAAUUUUAAAUUUACAGAAAACUUGCUGAAAUAUUAAAAAUAGUUUUUCCCCUGAACUAUGAGGAUAAGUUGCCAAUAUGACACCCUUUUACCAUUGAAUAUUUUGUGUAAUUCUGACAAAUAAGAACCUUCCAUGCCUGGUGCGGUGGCUUAUGCUUGUAAUCCCAGCAUUUUGGGAGGCGGAGGCGGGCGAAUCACCUGAAGUCAGGAGUUUGAUACUAGCCUGGCCAACGUGGUGAAACCCCAUCUCUACUGAAAAUACAAAAAUUAGUCGGGCGUGGUAGCAGGCACCUGUAAUCUCAGCUACUCAGGAGGCUGAAGCAGGAGAAUUGCUUGAACCCAGGAGAUGGAGGCUGCAGUGAGCCGAGAGAUCACUCCACUGUACUCCAGCCUGGGAGAUAGAGUGAGACUCUGUCUCAAAAAACAAAAAACAAAACAAAAAAAACUUCCAUUCAACUAUCAAAAUCAAAAUCAGAAAAUUAACACUGAUAUAUUACUGCCAUCUAACCUGCAGAUCUCAUUCAAGUUUCACCAAUUUGCCUAACAAUGGCUUUUAUAGAAAAAGGAUCCAAGUCAUGAUCUUAUAUUGCAUUCAGUUGUCAUGUGUCUUUAGUCUCCUUCAGUCUCAACUUGUUUCUUAGUCUUUCCAUGACUUUCAUAAUCACAACAAUUUUGAAGAUGAUAGGCUGAUUAUAUGGUAAAAUGUCCCACCUUUGGGACUGUGUAAUAAGUCCUCAUGAUUAGAUUUGGAGAAGUGAUGCUGUGCUUUUUUGGGGUAUGGUAAGGUUAAGAAUCAUUAUACAAUAGCUACAAAUUGUUGAACACAUACUAUAUAAAAUACACUUCACUAGGCACUUCACAUAUUUUAGCUCUUAUAAUCCACACAAGCACACUAAAAAGUGAGUAUUAUUGUUCUUAUUUUAUAGAUGAGGAAUCUGAAGCUAAGAGAAGUUAAGUGAUUUGUCUAAUGUCACUUAGUAAGCUGCAGAACUGAGCCCAGGUCUCAGGCCUGUGUCCCUCCCAGCCUGUGCCUUGUGCCCUGCACCGUGCUGCCAAGUUGACUCCUAUCUUGAACCUGCCUGGGGAAUGUCAACAUGGGCAUCACACAAGAACACAGGAAAUCCCACUUUCGUAAAUAUUCUCCAGACUCAACACUUACUAGUUGUAUGGCUUGGACAACUAAGUUAAUUUUCCUUGGCUUCAUUCAUUCAUUCAUCGACUUAAUGAUUACUUCUUGAGCACUUAGACACAGGCAGUGUUCUAGGCCCUGGAAUUACAGCAACGUAAGACAAAGUCCUUGUGGAAUCUGUCUUCUAGGAUAGCUCUAGUUUCACUAUUUGUAAAAUGGGGUAAUUAAAAUAUAUGCAUAAUUGAAUUGUGAAGAAUAAAUAAAAUCAUUCAUGUAAUGAGCUUAGCCCAGUGAAGAUACAUCAUAAUUUAAUGUGUCAGCUAUUAUGUAAAGAUCAUGAACAGUGAGAAGCCGAUCCAACUCUUGACUCAGUGACAGUGCUCUGAGAUAAGGAGGGAGAUAUAGGAUGGGGGAGGCCUGCAGCCUAGGAAGCACACUUUUUCCAGAUCUGGGAUCAAAGCACAAAGCUGGAAGAUAAUGAUCUCAAUGAGGACAUUGGCAAGGCCUCCCAAAAAGCAGAGCCUAGAGGACACACAUCAACACCAAUUACUUGUUCAGCAUGUGCUUCUCUGCUCUGAUUGCCCAGAGCUGUGGCCAAGGAUUCCACAUUGCAUAGCAAAAAACAAACAAACAAAAAACAAACGGUGAGGACUAAAGGCAAUGUAACACAAGUUGGAGUGUGUGGAGAGCAUUGCUGUUUUUAAAUUUUGGUUUUCUUAAAUGGCUCACUGUCUUAGAUGCCUAUCUUAAAUUCCCACACCUUAACAUGUGGUAUUAACUCCAACAGAAAACAUGCAACCAGCCAAAAGCCAACAUAGUUUAAGAAAUUUAAUAUUUUAUAUGCAUCACAUUUUAGAAAACUGUUUUUUUUUAUUUUUGUGGAGGAAUGGGGUAACCACCACUGGACAUUUUACUUUGCCUCAGGGAUACAGUUCUGAAACUUGGAGUUUAUACCAUAACUUGGCUAAUCUGCUCAGAUUCAGCAUCUGUAACUCCUUUAAGUGGCAUUUAGUAUUAUGACAGGAAAUCUUUACUGUUUUUCUAUUAUGAAGAAACAUUAGUAGACUGUAUUGUAAUAUGUGUUCAAAUUGGGUUACCGUCUCUGAUGAACUGCAGAAGAAAUGGAAACAGAUAGUGAGUGGAACAGGGAUGCUGGUGCAAUCAAUCCCCAAUCUCACAGCACGCACCUUGGGGCCCACAGACUGAGGGUCACAUCUUCCUAGAGUUUCCUGAGAUGGAGAAAAUGAUUUCUUUCUCUCAGUUGGUGCAAUGCUUACAUGGGACAAUGUGUGCAAUUAACCUGGCACACAGUAGUUAUUCAGCAAAAAUAAUUUCCAUUGUUAUCUCCUGUUUUAUGAAUUCAGCUUUCUUCAGAAUUUUAAAAAAAGCAGUUAUAAAUUAAACCACAUUGGUUUCUUAUUCAUAGCUGGAGGGCCUGGCACAUAGAAGGUGUGAUCAUGGGAGUCUGUGGGAUGAAUUAUUUGUGGUGCUUGAUGGAAAAGUGUUUCCUGGCCAACUCCCUUAUUGGCAGCAGCAGGGGGUAGGUUUGGUGGUUCUGUGAUGUCUCCCAACUCUGGAGCUGUGCACACAGACAGGCUAGACUCUUCCUGGCUAAGGCUCAUGGGAGAGUUAUUCUUGUUUCAGUUUGGGCAAAAAUUCUAUGCACAUGCUCUGCCUUUAAAUUCACUUUUCAGAUACUUGGCUUCAUUCUAUGUGCCUGAAACUUUACCAGAAUUUAGGAAUUCAGGGAAGAAUUAGACACCUUUAGGUAGUCAAUAAUUAGGUACCAGGGAAACUUAUGUGCACAGAUACACCCAUGCAUACAUCAACAUAUGCAUGUGUGUGUAUGUGUGUGUGUGUGUGUGUGAGCAUAUAUAUUAUAUAUAUAUGUAUUUAUUUAUAUAUAUAUGUGGAGGUGGUAUCCUAAGGUAAGGGGAAACAAUGUGGGAGACUCAAAGUUGUGAGUGUGAGAGUGUGGGGACCACGGCAAAAUUGGGAUCCAUGGUCCCACAAGAACACAAGUUCAUAAAAAGUCAAAGAAAUGAUGCUUAAGUCUGGGGUUGUCCAAGAUCAAGGUUGCCUUCUGGACCAGAAGAAUCAAGGUUGCCUUCCAGUCUCACAGGAACACAGGUUCAUGGAAAGUCAAAGGAAUGUUGCUUAAGUUUGGGCCUGUCCAAGAAUCAAGGCUGUCUUCUGUAGGUGGGAGGAGGACCAAGAGAGAUGCCUGCUCCGAGUUGUGGGAGAUAAGGAAGGGGUGGGAGAAGGCUGAGUGUCACUGGGCAGGGAAGGGAUCUGGAGAAGGAAAAGCCUGGGUCUGGAAACAUGGUGAGUUGUGAAGAGUAGGCCUGGCUGCAAUCUUGUCCAAGCAGGGAGAUCAAAGAGCCUCUGCUAGGUUUAAGAAAAUGAGACACACAUCCUUGGGGAGCCAGGUGCUUCUGUGGCCAAGGACUCUGCAGCUUGUCUGUCUGGCUCUUAGAUACAUAGCUGAGAACAGACAUGCGGGACUGAUUAGAAAACUGCAAUACUUGGGAAAAAAUGUAGACAUCAGAGACAUGAAAAUGGAAACAUUCAAAUGUUUGUGAAUGGAAUGUGCCUAUCGUUGUGGUUUAUGUGCCCUGGAGACCUUGCGAACAACCCAUCCGUACGCCUGGGGAGAACUUGUCUCCAGAGGCCCCUUCCCUCUCACUUGCACAGUCAUAGGCUUUCCUUGGAUGCACCUGAUGCUUAUCAUAUUUUCUCCUCUGAGAUAGAAUCUUUUUCUACUGGUUUUUAUCCAGUAGUGGGCUAGAGGCCCCCUAAACUGAGGGCUCCAUCAGACACUCAAGAGGAAAUCUUACAUAGUUUGUAAGACAUACAUACAUGUCUUUGCGCUUUCAGCACGAUCAUAUCAAAAGUCUCUUUUGGCUCUUGAUAUUGAUUAAACACAUUUUCUAGUGCAUUUAGUAAUUAUCUGAAGCCCCUUCAUAUGGAGUUUACCAUUUGUGUGUGUGGGCAUGUGUGUGUGUGUGUGUGUGUGUGUGUGUGUGCGUGUGUGUCUCUACUCUGCCCACCUCCGACUGAUGGGACAUAUGUAACCUUGUAGAAGGAGAUCUGGGGUUAGUAUUGGAGAACCUGGGUUUGAACUUCUUUUCUGCCACUGUAUGCAGGUACAGAUAUAUAGCAAAAGGAUAAAGGACUUAGUCUAAAGGCUUAUUAGUUGUCUAUGUUUGGCAAAUUGUUUAAUCUCUCUAAACAAUAGAUUCUUCAUUCAUAAUAUAUAAUUUGUAAAUAUUCAUUAAUAAAUACAUAAUUUAUAUUCAUAAAUAUAUAAAGAAAUAAUAAUACCUGUCUUGGAGAAUUCCUGAGAGGAUGAAACAUAGGAACAAAUACAUUAGUACAAAGUUUGGCACAUAUUAAAUAUUCAGUAAAUCUCACCUGUUAUUAUUAUUGCUGUUUUUUGACCCAAGCUAAUGUAAUGUGGAUACAUUCUGGGUAUAAUUAGAGCAUACGUUAAAUAUUUUUUGGGGGGGGGCACAAAAACGCACACAUUGCUGUCCAUAGUGCUGAACUAUCAUAGCACAGGGGUUGGCUGUCCCUCCUAAUCCUAGGCCACUGCUGAUGGCUGUGCAGUCUCUCCCAGGAAUUCUGAGCCAGGGAUGUUGAAUGAAGCAACCAGAAUGGUAGAGAAGUAAACUAACAGUGGCUUUUGCAUAAGUCACUGAGAAAUUUCUAGGGGAGAGAAAAAGGGGCUUUUUUGUAUCUUUUACAUGUUUAUAUUACCCAAGAAUAAAUCCAAACUCACAUGGCUUAAAUGGCCAUGAAGGUAAGACGUGUUUUAUGUGAUGGAGGGUUGAAGUGUUAGUGUGAAGGGUGAGUUCAAAUAGUAAGCAGAACCCUAAAGGAGUAGAGAUUGUUGAAAUGAAGUGUCAUAAUCAGUUGGGUUAAAACAGUACUUUAAUAUAUAUUUUGAAAUUUUGGCUCAAUGAAAUAUUUGUAAUUGUCAAACUGUCAAAGAUCAAAUAAAACCGUUACCAUGUAUAUGGCCAAUUUCAUGUAACAUUGAAAAUUCAAACAUAUUUCUGAGUGUAAUAAGUUUUUUUUGGAGAGUCUGAUAGCUUUAAUGAGCAGGUAUCUUUCCCACAUUCCUUUCCUUGGGUACUCUGGUGAUGACUCUGGGUAUAUGGUUUCCUCUGGGCCUCAUUUUCCCAUUCCCCUCUUCUUAUAUUUCCUAACGUCCUUCCAUUAGUCAAUCCAUCCAUCCACCAAUUAACCAAUUACUAAGCACACAAUUAUAGAGCAUCUAUUGAGUGUUGUAUACACUGGUGCUCUGUUUGCCUCAAGAGAGUAGCUUGUCCAAUCUACCUUCUAUCAUGACAAACUCUCUCCUUUGUCCCAGUCCCUCCAGAAUCUGCUGGUUCUACAUUCAUUCCCUCAUUCAGCAACAUUUACUGAGCACUUACUGUAGGUCAGAUAUUGUUCUAAGCAAUAAAUAUGGCCAUAAAUACUGUUAUCUAGUGUCUGGAUUGUUGAAAUAGACAUAUGAUCAGCUCCCUGUUUCCACCAUCGGCCCCCUAUAGUUUAUUAUCAGUAAAGUCAGAGGUCUUUUUAAACCUAAGGCAUAACAUGUUAUUCCUCUGCUCCUAGUUCUCCCAAUAGCUUUCCAUCUCGCUUAGUCAGGAGUAGUGGAGGAGAUGAUGAGAAGUUAUAUUUUCUAUGCCUAUUUUAGUGACAGAAACCAUAGAAGUUGUGAUAGAUUAGAUAUAGGUUAUAAGAGAAAAGAGGAACAAAUGCUGUCUCCAAGGAUCUUGUUUUUAACAACUGGAAAGAGAUUUGCCCAUUAGUGAGUUGGAGGAGACUAAGACAAGCAUAUUUGGAGAUAAAAAUUUCAAAUCUGAUUUUGGAUAUGAUAAAGUUGAGGUACCUAUUUAGUAUUUAGAGAUACUGAGAAAGCAGUUUGAUAUGUAAGUCAAGUUUUGGUUGAAGACACACAUUUUGGAGCCAUUAGUAGAUAAAAUGCAUUUAAAGCCAUGAGUCUGUAUGAGAUUGCCCAGAUAGAUAGACUAGAUAGAUAGAUGAUAGAUAGAUAGAAGAUAGAUAGAUAGAUAGGUAGAUAGAUGAUAGAUAGAAGAUAGAUGAUACAGAUGGCUAGCUAGAUAAGGAAGAAUUAGAGGUGAAAAUUCACUUCUAGGAAUCACAGAAGGUCUUGAUAAAAGCUGUUUUAGUACAAUAGUGGAGUCAAAAGCCUGAGUAAAUUGUGUUCAAAAGGGAUUAAGAAGAGUGUAAAUGAGACAGCAAGCAAUGACAGCUCUUUUGAGGUAGCUUGAAAUCUGUGAAGGAACCUCAUAAUUUGCAAUGGGCUAGACAUGAGUAAACCAUGAACAUUUUUGUUAUGGCUGUGUUGUUCUAACAUGGAAGUGUUUUCCAAAUACUGCAUUAGCCUCAAAAGAGCUGGGCAUCAAUGUGAGUAUCUCUCAAAACUAGCUAGGAAGGUGUUAAGUCAUCAAAAGGCUGCACCAUUUCCAAGCUUCUGUAGAAGGAGCUCAGGGCUUGCCAUAUGGGGCUUCUUAAAACAGCACUAGCAACAGCAACAGCCAUAAUAGCAACAACAGUAAGUUAGAACUCUCAUUCUGUGCUAAGCAUUACACUAAGUAUAUAUUUCAUGAUUUUCUCAUUUAAAGUCCAAAACCCAAUGAGGUCAAUGUCAUGUUAUUUGCAUCUUAUAGACUUAGUACCUUAUAGGCAGAGCUGUAGUCCUUCAGAAUAUUUGGUGAGACCUUGAUUUUUAUUACGUUUUUCAUACAGGCAUUGUUUCAAGACCCUGCUGAAAAGCAAGAGUGUAAAAUGAUUUUUAAGAAGUGAUGCAGGGAAUACUAAGUUUUCCCCAAGUGUUACCAUGUGGAUUGAGACCUCACUCUUCCUUCCUACUUCAUUUCUCACUCAUAUGUCUUGGGAAUGCAGAUGCCAUUUUUAAUGGAGGCUGCUACGUCAUUAAUAAAUAAAGCAUAGCAUCUGCAAGGGCCUUGUAUGGUUGUGAGAAAAGCCUGAUUGUCUUUGUAGUCCAUCUCCUCUUUGACUCCCUACUGUGAUGUCUGUGGCUCUUCUGCCCCUUGUAGAGGGAAGGUCUUGCUUCAUUCGGAAGGAAGCAAAGUGCAAAGUGAGGUCACUCUUUGGUUUCUGCUAACUCUUAAGACCUUAACUUUCAGAAACAUUUCAGAAAUGUUUCCUAAACAUUUACAAGAAACAAGAGGUAUUUUGAUAGGCUUAUAAACUUUAUUCAGUUUUAACAAAUGAAGUAACUGAUUUACUAUACCAAUAGGAAUUACAUACUGUGCUAUAAAGUCAAAGGCCAAAAUAGUUCAGAUAGCUACAGCUUUAAUUAAGACUUCAGUGCAUGCUAGAGUGUGGGGAAAGUAACACUGCACAAUCUAUGGUCUAUUCUUUUAAAAAUAGUUUAGCUACUCAAGUUCUAUUUUGUUUUCAAAGAGACCUUUAUGGAAAACUUAAGAAUAUUGGAUUCCUUAGUGACAGUUGUAGGUUUUCAUUAGUAGCAGAUGGGUCCAUUGAAAGGGCUGAAUGAAGAAAUAUGAAUUGAAGUUAGGAGUCUGUUAGAAACCUGUCAAUGUGACAAUGUUUUGUACAGUAGGUUUAAUACUUGGGUAGAAUUAAGUACUCAUUUCGUCUUCCUGAUUACCCUUUUAUCCCCUGUUUACUUGCACACACAUAAACAUUAUUUCAUAUUUUAUUCCUCCAGUAUAAUUUUUUCUUUAUCAGCAUGCUUUGGGUUGUUUGUUUUUUCCUGCCUUUAAUUAAUUAUUAUUAUUAUUCUGAAAGAAACCACAUCUAUAGGUAUUGCAUGUUUUUAAACACUCCUUCAAAUGCCUGUCUUAGACUUCAGAUCCUCUAUUCAUCCAGUAGAAACAAGCCCAGAAAAUAAGAUGUUUAGGGAGGGUUUCUGUACUUAUUUUCACUCUGAAAAGUUUUUGGAGACCAAAACAAUUGAAAGUGUCAAGGAAAUAAAGAAACUCUCUGUGUGAUUCUGGUUUCCCACUGUAUAAUCCUUAAGGGAUUUUUCAGGAGUUGUUAGAUGCUUAUUAUGAAAAUUAUAUAAUAAAUACUCUUUUGUCACCAUUAAUUUCUCCUCCUCCUUUUUUCCUCUUCCUUCUUUACCCCCCUUCUUUCCCCCUCUUCCUUGUCUCCUUCUCCAUAUUAAUAUUAUUAUUAUUAAUUUUUAAAUUUUAGAGACAUUUACCCUGUCCUUUCAGAUUUAUUUAGCAGACUUUUGACUUUAAAGGGUCUGGGGUAAAAACCUUCCUAGAGUUGCAAAUGUCUUUGCUCUUUCAGUACAACCAUAUCAACAGUCUCUUUUGGCUCUUGAUAUUGAUUAAACACACUUUCUAGUGCAUUUAAUAAUUAUAUGAAGCCCCUUUAUAUGGAGUUUACCAUUGUGUGUGUGUGUGUGUGUGUGUGUGUGUGUGUGUGUCUACUCUGCCUAGUUCCUAUUGAUGGGACGUACGUAACAUUGUAGAAGGAGAUCUGGGGAUAGUGUUGGAGAACCUGGGCUUGAAUUUCUUCUCUGCCACUUAUUUGAUGCCUGACCUUGGGCAAGUCAUUUAAUCUUUCUAAGCAUCUGUUUAUCUAUAUAAUGAGGAUAAUAUCUAGCUCAUAUGUUUGUGUUGAUUAAAUGAGAUAGUUUCAAUAGAAGGAAAACUCAUAAAUUGUAAAGUUCUAGUUAAUGUUAAUAUAUAGGUUGCAAUAAUAAUAGCAAUAACAAUUUAAUUGGAAAAAAAUCCUCUUGUUGAAGACUAGAGUUUUUCAUGUGACACAGGCUAUUUUAAGUGAUAUGGUAGAGUUAGACCAUGAUUUACUUAACCAUUUUCUAAACUGGGGCAAUUAAAUUGUUUUAGGUUAUCCAGGUCUAUAAAUAGCAUGCCAAUUGGCAUGCUUAUGCAUAAAUUUUUAAUCUCAAUUUUUGAGUGUCUCUUUGGAGCUUGGCUUCAGAAGGCCAGUCACUUUCUCCCAUGGCUGCCAUUGCUCUAGGCUCCUAUCUUGUCAGUGCAGCUCUGCCCUUUGGAGAGCUCCUUUUCCCCUUGAGCCCUCCCUGGACUGCAGAAGGGCCUCCAGAAAGGCCUGGGUGUGAGUAGGGUUGCCAGAGAAGGCAUGAGCUUUGUGGUUGUUUGGUGGACGGUGAAGCUGUACUAAUAAUGCCUCGUUGUUCUGGAGGACCUUUGUGUAGGAGGGGAUGGGCAAAGCAGAGAACAAGAGAGAGGUGCUGCUUCCAGGCUUUGGAUGCAUGUUCCUGCCUAGAGUCCCCAUCAGGAUCCAGGGGUCUCCCCAGCUAGGCUUCAUAGGAUUACAAUUGAACUCUCAACUCAAUUUCUUCCAGAGAGAGCAAUCCUGUCUGCACCGUCUCUCAUCCCCCAAUGUUGUCUCCAAAGUGAGGAGAGGGGGCAGCAACCCUCCAGGCUGUUAGCAGCUCUGUCUUUGAGUGAGUGGCCUGUGAAAUGUUAGAGAAGACCCGAAACCCUCCUCCCUGGGUGGAUAUCACCUUCUUCCUUUGGAUUUUAUAAAGAACCUGAUCCUCUUUGCCUGAAUGGAGCCAAAUAAACGGGAGUCUCAGAGGAGGUUGAUGGCUCAGUCAUAGAAGUCCCGCAGCGACGUCUGGUUUUGAUGUAUUGAUGAAGGAUAUGAUCACGCUCAGAGAACGAGAUCACUUUUGCCAGUUUGAGAGAAAGGUCAUGUUUUUAAUUUAACUUAAUUUCCUACACCAAAGAGAAUUUUCAAUAGGAUAUUCGACUUUUGCAACUUUAAUGAGACCAGAUGCUCUGGGGCCUGCAGCAAUGAAGAGAAAACAGAUUUUCUAGUUUACACUUCUACUUUGUGUAUUUUCUAAAUUGGGCAUGUGUAGUUCCUUUAAGAAUAUGAUUUCUCAUUUGGGGUCUCUCUCUCUCUCUCCCUUCCUUCCCUUCUUCCUUCUUUCCUUUAUCCCUUCUGAUUUUUCUCCUUCUUCUAAGUAUUAUCUGACUGAGCACUCAUCACAGGCUAAGCAAUGUGCUUAGAACUUUACAAACAUAUAUUUAAUUUCCAUUUUACAGAUGUAGACACUGAGAUUCAGGGAGGUUUUUAAAAAGACAUUUAGCAUAUAUUGUGUAGUAAUUCAUAGUAAAUUACAGUCUUGGACUCUGACACCAAGUCAUCUGGGUUCAAGUCCAGGUUUGGCCAUUUACUUGUGAAGUAACCUGGGAAAAUCACUUACCUUUUGAUUACUGGUCUUUGUUGGUUGUCUUAAAGUUGCAGGUUUAGUUUUAUUUUUAAUGAUGACAAUUUUACAUACAAUAGGGCAUAUGUGUAGUUUAUAGAGUAAUAAAACAAAUGCCUGGGCAUCUGCUGUGGUGGAUGUUUGUGUCCCCACAAAAUUUAUAUAUUGAAAUCCUAACUUCUAUGGUGAUGGUAUUAGAAGGUGGGGCUUUUGGGAGGUGAUUAGGUCAUGAGGGUGGAACCCUCAUAGAUGGGAUUAGUGCCGUUAUAAAAGAGAGCCUGGAGAGUUAGCUAGUUCCUUCCACAAUGUGAGGACACAGUGAGAAGUCAGCAGACUGCAAGCAGGAAGAAGGCCCUCAUCAGAACCCGACCAUGCUGUCACCCCGAUCUUGGUCUUCCUAGCCUCCAGAACUGUGAGAAAUACAUUUCUACUGUUUAUAAGCUGCUUAGUCUAUGGGAUUUUGUCAUAGCAGCCUGAAUAGACUAAGACAGGACACAUCUGCAUAAGUUUCCCUAGGGUUUAGACCUAGGAAUGGGAUGGUCAGAGCUAUGUAUGUUCAACUUAUGCCCACUAUUUUCUAAAUUUGUUGUAACCCAUUUAUUUUCUGAUUGAAGACUAGAGAGUUUUAAUUUCUUUAUUUCUUCAACACGUUGUGUUGUCAGACUUUAAAUGUUUUUGCCAAUGUGGUGGGUGUAAAUACAUCUUAUUGUUUUAACUAACAACUAAUUUACAGUGAAAUUGAAGAACUUUACAUAUAUUUAUAAUGUUUAUGUUUUCUCUUAGGUAAAGUCCCUUUUAUUUUGUUAUAAUUUUUUUUGCCCACUUCUUUUAGAGUCUCAUUUUUCCCAUUUUUUUAAAUUGGGGAACUGUUCUGGAAGCUCUCUAGUAAUUUUAGAGCUCCAUGCUCUGUGAUUCAAAACCAGAUACUUCAAUGCAGCCAACUCUAUGCUUUUAUAAAUUGUAUUCUUCUUUUGAAACAUGCUGGUCUAUCGUAGGGAUUGAAGUAGGGAUUGAAGCCAGCUCAAGGCUCUGGCUGUUAGGCCAAUGUACAAGGACAGUGUAGAAAAGGUCUUAGAAUAGCCUAAGAGAGUUUUCUUUUCUUUUCUUUUAAACGUGCACUUUAUUUUGCUCGUAGGCACAGGGGGCUCAUUUCCUUUUUUUUUUCUUUUUCGAGAAGAGUGUUCUGACCCUAGUUGGUUAUUUAAAAAUUCACAUUGACAAUUAAAAAUAAGAUCUCUUGUUUCCUCUUCUAUAUUCCCUCAAAUAUAUAUAAGCUGGGCACACAUUUAUGAUUGGGCAGAAUCCAGAUAUUUUAGUUAAAGAUAUGUGGGGGUAUCCUUCUUCUCCCUUUAUCUACUAUUCCUCCCUGAUAUUAGAAUUAAGAAAAAAUGCAAAGUUUAGGAGAUAAAUCUUUCCUGUUUCUGCAAGUCAAAUACAUGAUCACAACUUAUUUUUAGGAUAAUUUAUUAGGUAUCUUUUCACUUCUCCAUUUCUAACUCAAAAUUCCCUUUAGGUUUCAAAAGCAAUAACAAAAUCAAACAAAAAUUCUCCAAACUGAGGCUCCAGUCAACCAACAAAAAAACAAAUUUAACCUCCACAAAAGAACCCUGGCAAGCAUGAUCAAAUCCAAUAUUACCUUUUGACUUAGAUUAGGACUUAACAUAGGAGUAACUAAAAUUACUUGCACAACUGCCAGUGCUUGCUCCUACUUUAGCACCUUAUCUUUUACUAGAUCAGAAAUCUCUGAACCAAAGAGGAAAAAUGUGGUACAAUGGGAAAUCAGAAGAUUCAAGGUCUGGCCACUUAUUAAGCCUGCAGUAAUGCUCUGAUGUCAUCCAAGGCUCAACUUACUAUAACAUUGCCAAGUGGCUGUGAUGAGAACUUUUACAUCACUGGCAAUGAAUAAUGCCUGAUUGGUAGGUGAUGGUGGUUGUCAAAAUCUCUUGAAAGCACUUUGUCUUUAUGGAGUUUCCAUCCUACAUCAGAGAGACCCAUGGUAUGGGGUGUCUUGCCCUCCAUGGACCUCAGAACAAAGCUGGGGAUCAGGUCAGAAAGUUGGACCCAAUCUUCAGAAGACUGGGUUACCAAAACUGUCUCUGCCAAAGAAGGCAUGAGAAUACACUGAAAGUGACAACUGUGAGGGCACUUGGCUUCCAAAGGGAGGUUAUGAGAGAUGGUUAAAAUGACUUUGGAACUGGUAGCCCCUAUUAUAUUCCCACAGGGCUGACCAGGAUGGAGCUGGGUUGGGCAGAGGGUAUGUAUGGAUUCUUUGAAGCCAGUGAACCAGAAUGUUUGAGGAGCACACACAGGUUUCUUUCUUUCUUUUUUUUUUUUUUUGAGGCGGAGUCUCACUCUGUCACCUAGCCUGGAGGGCAGUGACACGAUCUUGGCUCACUCAAGCUCUGCCUCCCGGGUUCGUGCCGUUCUUCUGCCUCAGCCUCCCAAGUAGCUGGGACUACAGGCGCCCGCCACCACGUCCGGCUAACAUUUUGUAUUUUUAGUAGAGACGGGGUUUCACCGCGUUAGGUGGGAUGGUCUCGAUCUCCUGACCUUGUGAUCCACCCCCCCUUGGCCUCCCAAAGUGCUGGGAUUACAGGUGUGAGCCACCGCGCCUGGCCCACACGGGUUUCUUUAACUUCACGAUACAAAGUUUCUGGAAGUUCUGUUGAAUUCUCUCAAAGCUGGAAAUAGGUUUGGCCUCCCGGUGCCCUCCUCAAGCAGAGCGGCUGGCUCGUCUCUCUGCUACACAUUUUGCCUCUAGGUAAAAUAUAAUAUCAUUCUAACCAAGAGUUAAAACAUCUAAAAGAUGGAAAAAGUGAAAACCCUUGAUUCAUAGGAUAGUAAGGUGGUAGUGAUGGUUGUGGGGAUGUUAUGUAAACAAUGACAGAGGCCUUCAUUGGCCAGUGUUUACAACUAUACACAGUCAUUAUCUAAAAGUAUAAGCAUAGUUUAUUCUUAAAUUGUUGGGCGGUCUUUGCAUUACAUCAUACAUUAACAAGGUCUAAAUAACAAAAUAUCCUCAUAUAUACUCCAUGAUUUUUCAAGACUUUAUUAAUUCCUCCCUCUGCUGGCUCUUACUACUGCUCCUAGAAUUAUUAAUCUACUCCCACCUCCAAAUGCUUGUGACCCUCUCUUGUGCUACAAUGGCUAGUUCAUCCUUCUUGGUUUUUUCUCCUGGUUCCCCUGGAAAAAUCAAGUUGGGUUGUUUUGGGUAUCCUAUUUGCUUAGGAUUUUGUUGUUGUUGUUGUUGUUGUUUAUAUUCUAGGUCAAUGCUGCUGAAGCUUUAGUGAGCAUCACCUGUAGAGCUUUUUAAUAUACAGAUUCCUAGUAUUAAUCCCAACUAGUAGGUGAGGUGGGGGGUGUCAGAGAAUUUACAUUUCUAACAAGAUACCAGGUGAUGCUCAUGUAGCUAGUUUGAGGCCUUAAUUUGAUUAGUGCUGUUCUAGAUGGUACUUCUAAAUGGAUAGAGUUUAUUUACAUAUUUAGUAUAAUACAUGAAAACUUUUAUUGUCUUGUGGUUUCAAAAUAAAAAAUGUAGUAUAUAAUACAAAUCAAUUUUAACCAGUGGUUACUUCUCUCUAAAUUCUUGGCUUUUUGAGGACCAACGCUUACUCAGAUUUUUAUCCAUGGUGAAGUCAGUUCACGUCAUGCUCAGGAAGUAUAUGUUGAUUGAAUGAAAAAGGAAGGAAAAGAUAACCAGCUGAUGGAAGCCUGUAGCACUUGGGGCUCCAGGCUCACCCCUCACACCCUUGUGCCACAUUUCAUCCAAACCCUGGAAAUUGUGAUCUCUCUCACUUCCUGCUGCAAUUCACUGGCAGCCUUGGGACCACCCUGCCUUAGGCUGAGAAGUGAGAAAUUCUGAAAGCAAUCGAACACUGUAAAUUUUCACAGCAGUUCAACGGAAAGCUGUUGGGCACAGAUGUUUCUGUAAUUGUGAUAUGCUGGGAACAUUCUCCGGCUCUAAGCACUGAGGGCCUGAGUCUCAUUCUUCCACCUGGGUGCCUCAGUGGCCAAAUCUUACUAUAGUGAAGCUGUAAUGGGAACCAGGUGGCAGCAUGUGCCUGUCUUAAAAGAGCUGAGUGAGAUUCAUGUCCCAGUGUCAGUCCCUCCUUCCUUCCUGCCCCAGCACAUUCCUUGGGGAGCCAGUUUUCAUGAUGGCAGACCCCACUACUUACUUGAGCAUGGGGUGAUUCUUAGCUCCUUGUCCAAGAUGGGAAUGGAAUCUCAUGUUUGCUGGUGGGGGGAGCCACAGAGGCCUUCCAGUUGCUCUUUGAUAGGCUGUAAGAAAAGAACUCGGGAAAGGCUUGGGUGGUAUGAAAGAAUAUGGGUAUUCUAACUGACCUUUGUGUGAUCAGGGUUACUACCAUCAUUUAAAAAUCCACCAAAGGAUCUUGAAACUUGUGACUUACUCCUUUCAAGCUGAAUUUUCUUUUUGGGUAUGAUAUUCCUGCUUUUAGCAAGAGAUAGCCCUCAUUUGCUUCAGGGCUCUUCCUGCUUUGAAACUGGAGGGAGGCUGUGAAUAGCACAGGGGAAACAUCUGCCACUGUUUGAAAUGCAUACCACAAAACUGACAAAAGUUCAAGGAACUUGGAACAGUUUUCACAAAUGUUUCCAGUUGGAGGACUUUAACCUGUGCCUACUGUAGCCAAAAGCGUAAAGAGGACAGAGGGUGAAGGAUGCAGAACAGUAGAGCUGGCAAGAGGAAACAGUGUAGCAGCAGACAUUUCUUGGGAGGAUGCGUGCCAUGGUCAGUGUUCCAGUCCUGGUGACUCAGACUGAGUGACCAUCCUUGCACUGCAACUGUCAGUGUUGCCACAUAACAAAUGGUCUUCUACUUCUUUUCACAAGAUAUUUGCUGAACACAAGCUGAUGAAAACCUGUUUUUAUAAACCGUAGUAUAACUUUUAUGUCUCAAUUUUAUCUAUGUACAACAUCUAUAUAACUGUGAAACAAAGGAAAUUUAUACAAUAUUCACAAAUCUACGAGAUCCAAGAGGAGUAUCUACUUCCAAUUGUAGCUUCCAUGCAGAACAUGUUCUACAUUAAAACAUACAUAGUUAGAUCUUUCUUCUUGGUUCCCAUUAUUCACCAUGUAGUUAUUUUUAAAAAAGUUACUCAGCCUGUUGAAUCUAUAAUCUCCAAAUAGAAAAAAUUCCAAAAAAAUAUUUUUCUUUUAUAAUUUAUAAUUUUUCUUUUAAAAUAUUUUCUUUGGAGUGUUUUUAUUAUAUCAGUUGGCUCAGUGAGGGAACUGAUAAAAGAAAACUAAAAGAAGCUUCCAUAGGGGAAAAAACCCCAGAUAAACUAUUAGAAGUAAUGAGAAAAUUCAGUAAAUUUGCCAGAUCCCAGAUCAACUUAAAUAUAUUUAACAUUAUUUUCACCAGCUAUAAUAAACUAUCAACUAAAAAACUUAAACAACAAAGACAAUAACUUUUUUUGACAAUAACUUUCGUAAUAUCAAUAAAAACUAUAAAGUAUCUAGGAGUUACCUUAAUAAGGCAUACACAGAUUUAUAUAAAAAUGUUAAAUUCUACUUGAGUAUGUACAAGAUGAUUUAUUUAAAUGGAUAUACAUUCCCAGUUUUUGUAUGGAAUGACUUAAUAUUAUCAAGCUGUCUCCCCAAAUUAACUUAUAAAUUCAAUAUAAUUCCAUUUAAAAUUCUAGUGGGGUAUUUUGAAGACCUUGAUACAAACAUUCUAAAACUUACAUAGAAGAAUUAAGGUCCUUGAAUAGCUAGGUCAAUCUUAAAAAAUAGAGAAAAGAGAUUUUUUUUGGCCUGAUACUAAGAUAUAUUACAACGUGUGAUAUUUAUAUAAAGAGACUAAUAAUCCAGUAGAACAGAAUAGAGAACCCGGACACAUAUAUCUACAUCUGUAUUUCCAUGUCUAAAUAUCUAUAUUCAUAUCUAUGUAUAUUUGUACCCACAUCUGGGAAACUAAUAUUAAAGAAAACUGGCAUAACAAGUCAAUGGGAUAGGAGAGAUAAGUAGCUUAGUAGUUAGAUUUGGAAAAACUGCCUCAUAAUAUAAAUUUUUUUGACAACAUACAAAGGUAAACUUUAGGUGGAUUAAAGUCUUAGAUAUUGAAGGAAAUGCUAUAACGUUAAUGAAAGAAAAUAUAGGAGAAUAUUUUUGAUGUCUGGAAAGAAAAAUCACUUCUUCAAUAAAACCUUUAAAAUACAAUGUAUGAAAUAAAAAAGAAUUGAUAAAUUUGACUACAUCAAAUUUAAGAAAAUCAUAAGUAAAGCUAACAACAGUGUAAAAAUUGGGAUAAUAUUCUUGUAAUGUUAUUACAAGAUAUUAAUAUCUAGGACAUAAAAACAACUCUUGUAAAUUAAUAUGUGAAAGAGAGGAACCCCAGUAGAAUAAUGAGCCAAGGAUAUGUACAACCAAUUUACUCAAGAAAAGAUCCAAAAGGUCAGCAAAUAGUCACCAAAACAGCAUGGUACUGAUAAUAGAAGUAGAUAAAUAGACUAAUGGAACAGAAUAGAGGGCCCAGAAGUAAAGCCAAAUACUUAACAACUGAUUGAUAUUCCACAAAGCAUACAAAAACAUAAAUUGGGAAAAGGACACCUCAGUCAAUAAAUGGUCCUGGGAAAACCAGAUAGCCACAUGUAGAAGAAUGAAACUGGAUCCCUAUCUCUCAAUAUAUACAGAAAUCAACUCAGAAUUGAUUAAAGACUUAAAUCUAAGACCUGAAACCAUAAAAAUUCUAGGAGAAAACCUAGAAGAAACUAUUCUGAACGUUGGUUUAGGCAAAGAAUUUAUGACUAAGAUCCCAAAAGCAAAGGCAACAAAAAUGAAGAUAAAUUGGAUCUAGUUAAACUAAAAAGCUUCUGCACAGCAUGGCUGGCUCGGGCCUGUAAUCCCAGCAUUUUCAGAGGCUGACGCGGGUGAAUCACUUGAAGCCAGGGAUUCGAGACUAGCCUGGGAAACAUGGUGAACCCCAAUCUUUACUAAAAUUACAAAAAUUAGCCCAGUGUGGUGGUAGGCACCUGUAAUCCCAGCUACUCAGGGGGCUGAGGCAGGAGAAUCACUUGAACCCGGGAAGUGAACUUUGCAGUGAGCCAAGAUCACACCCACUGUACUCCAGCCUGGGCGACAGAGCAAGACAAAAAAGUAGGCAAAUAAUGUGAAUAGGUAUUUCUCCAAAGAAAACAUACAUAUGGCUAAUAAACAUAUAAAAAUGUUCAACAUCACUAAUCAUCAGGGAAAGUAAAUUAAAACCAUAGGGAGAUACCAGUUUACCCAAACCAGAAUGGCCAUUAUUAAAAAGUCAGAAAACAAUAGAUAUUUGUGUGGAUGUGGUGAAAAGGGGAUGCUUACACACUGCUGAUGGGAACGUAAAUUAGUACAAUCUCAAAGAACUAAAAGUAGAUCUGCCGUUCAAUUCAGCAAUCCCACUACUGAGCAUCUAUUCAAAGGAAGAGAAGUCAUGAUAUCACAAAGACAUGAGCAUGCAUAUGUUUAUCAUAGCAUAAUUCACAAUUGCAAAGAUAUGGAACCAACCUAAGUGCUCAUCAACCGGUGAGCCAAUAAAGAAAAUGUUUUAUAUAUAUAUGGUGGGAUACUACUUGGCCAUACAAAAGAACAAAAUAAUGUGUUUUGCAGCUACUUGAUGGAACUAGAGGCCAUUAUUCCAAGUGAAGUAAGUCAGGAAUAAAAAACCAACUACUGUAUGUUCUCAUUUACAAGUGGGAGAUAAACGAUGGGUACACAAAAGGCACACAGGGUGAUAUAAUGGACAUUGGAGAGUCAGAGGGAGGAGGGUGAGAGGGGCAUGAGGGUUAAAAAAACUACAUGCUGGAUGCAAUGUACACUACGUG